AGCAAUUUUCUAAUACUAAACAAAACAUUUUCAUUCAAACAAUUUCCAUUUGAUUCUGAUAUUGUCACAGAUAGUACAAUUUUCAAAUACAUUCAUCAUUUACUAGAUUAGUAAUUCUAAAAUUAGAUAAUACAAUUUUCAUUAAAAAACAUGCUAUUAGUAACUAAGAAAAAUGUCUUAGAAAUUAAAUGUUAGUGGUUUUAACAUUCUAUGUUGUAUUCAGUUUUACACCAUCCCAGAUGUUAGUUCUGGAAGACUUUUGAUCUUCCGUGAACCGAGCAAACUUCUCUCUCCCAGGCUCAAGUGAUACUGCCCUCCUGGAGAUGCUAAUUUUAUGGCCUCCUGUCCUCUCUGAUAACACAACAGGAGCCUCAGUGAGAGUUCCCUUUUGAUCUGUAUUUUCCUUCUUGUACUUUGAAUACUUACCCAUCAAUAGUUUAGUUUUUAAAUCAUUAACACAAACCUGUUCAAAAUUAAGAAAUUUGUUCAAAAUGGCAAUGCUCAAUAUACCUUUUACACAUGCCGUAAGAUUAACUGUGUUAAACACUAAAAAUAAUCAUUUUUUUCUCAACAAUCCCCAAAAAUUAAAAAAAUCCAGAACAACAAAAAACCCCCACAAAAUGUCUCCUUUGUGGCUGCAUUGUCUCAUUAUACAGUACACAUGUGAAAACAAAACUCUUAAUAUCAUGAUUUCAGUUUCUCUGUGACUUGUUAGGUGAAUAUUAUUGUGAUUACAUUCAGUUUGAAACAACUUGAGAUCUGAAUAUUUCCUGAGGAGACUGUUCUGACUUGCCUUUUUUCACAUCUGUAAGAAAUUAAUAGCUGCAGAAUUACUGCAAAAUCCCUACAUUACUGUAAUAGCUCUUAAUAUAAAAUAUCUUUACUUUGUUUUACAUAAGUGGAAAUCCUGAAAAAACAUGUUGGUGAUACAAAAUUACAACUAAUGACUUUUAUGUCACUCAGGAGCAUAAUGGCAAUUUUUGCGCAGUAGUUUGUUGGGGCUUGUUUACUGUGUUUUAGUUGACUAAAACUGUAUGCUAUGUUUUUUGUUUGAGCAGACAGCUUCAUGAAGGUGGGUUCUGCUCCAGCCAGAGUUAACUCUUAUGAGCCUAAAAUUGGAACAAGGCCAUGAUGUUAAUAGCACAGUAUGCAGAGUCACAUGCAGCCGUGACUAAAUGACCAUCUUGGGCUUGGACUGAUUGGUGCAACAUGAACACAUUUCCUCUAUCAGGGGUUUUUGCAUCUUGGAAAGUCUAAUUCACAACAAAUUCCUUUUAUCAGUUAAUGAUAGUUAAAUCACUUCCUGGCAGAAAAAACAAUCAGAUCUGAUGUGUUUUCCAUUUUCUUCUUUGUACAUCAUCAUGGAAAGUAUGAGGAAGAAACCAGAUGGCUUUUGAAGGAGAUGAUCAUUUCUGUGUUCAGAAACCGAUUUGUCUCUGCGACAUGUUAUGCUUCAUGGCCCAGAGAAAAACUCACACUCAUUUCUACAUAAUGAGAUUCUGUUAAGAACAUUUCAUACUUUGAGUUGCUGUUUUCGACCUUGCACCUGCAGACAGGACACACUCAAAUAUUGUUUCUAAUAUUUGUUCUUGGGCUGCACAGUGACAGGAAAAUGAAUGCUAAGUGGUUAUAUUCAGAAACCUGUUUGACACAGUUUCUUAUGUCUAAUUAACUUGUUCUGAUACAUUUCUGUUUGUUACAUUUCACAGUCAGGGUCAGCAGCAGAAGGACUUGUUUAUUCAGCUCACUAUCACAUACUGUUUAAAUUUACAUCACAAUAUUUUUAAGACCAAGAGUGAAAGCUAAAAAUGUCGCUACAGUAGUUGCAUUCCAGACGUUAGUGCUGGUCCUCAAUCUGUAACCUAUUAUCCUAACUAUAAUCUAAAGUACACUGAAUAAAAAGUUCAGACUAUUAAGCAAUAUGCUCUAAACACUGUUGGAGAACUACUCUUCAGUAAACAGCAAAUAAAAUAUUUGCCUUCAACUAACAUUGAAUCUUUUUUAUCUUUUACUGCUGUGUCUUGUUCCCCUCUGUAGAACAUGCAUCUUUGAACAUUUGUAUUUGAUGACAUUACUUUGAGAACACUGACAUAUAGCUUCCCUGUUUCACUCCCAGAAGGAUUAUAUCUUUUUUAAAUUACCCUGGCUACAAGCUGUAAUGUGUUUGAAAUUAAAGAAUACACCAGAGUUUAUCACAGGUUGUCAGAUAACUGGACACUGUAACAUACAGUGAGCCCCUUAAUGAGUAUAUUAAUGAAUGAUUUGUUUACAAGAAAUGAUCCAUGAGUGUAAUUUGUAUUUUGUUUGACCAGAAUUAACUGGAAAAUGCUGUAUCUUUCUUUAGGAAAUAAUUCUAUUAUACUGCAUCAUGGACAAUGCUAGAAUCUUUUCAACUCUAGAAUGUAUCAUGUUUGUAUACAUCUGUUAUUAUGUUGUACAUAUUGCUCAUUAUGAUAAAAUACCUUUACAACAU